UGGGACUCCAGCAGGAAGUGGGGCCUCCGAGGGGGAAAGAGGCUCAGCUUCAGAAAGCCGCUGGGGUCAUGGCACAGGCGCCCCAAAGAUCUGCGAGUCAAAUGAGAAGACACUGCUCUUCUGUUCCUCUUCCUGUAACCGCUCUUUCUCUUGGGUUCUUUUUUGUGGAAAGCAAAGUUAUAAGAAGAGAGCCAAAUGCAGUAACGCCCUGGGCUGAAUUGUAAGCCCGAGAAAUGUGAGCAGAGUUAAAGGAAGCCGAGGGGAGAUGCAGAUUUCUGCUGCUGGACGAGCCCCCCCC